rnacentral:rRNA from 1 species
AGCGAACGCUGGCGGCAUGCUUAACACAUGCAAGUCGCACGAUCGGGGGCAACCUCGGGAGUGGCGGACGGGUGAGUAACGCGUAGGUAUCUAUCCAGGGGUGGGGGACAACCGCGGGAAACUGCGGCUAAUACCGCAUGACGGCCCUGAUUGAGAGAUUGGGUCCCAAAGCUCGCGAGAGCGCCGAUGGAGGAGCCUGCGUCCGAUUAGCUUGUUGGUGGGGUAACGGCCUACCAAGGCUGCGAUCGGUAGCUGGUCUGAGAGGAUGAU